rnacentral:rRNA from 1 species
CCUACGGGGGGCAGCAGUGGGGAAUAUUGGACAAUGGGGGGAACCCUGAUCCAGCCAUGCCGCGUGUGUGAAGAAGGCCCUCGGGUUGUAAAGCACUUUCAGUGAGGAAGAACGCCUGGUGGUUAAUACCCAUCAGGAAAGACAUCACUCACAGAAGAAGCACCGGCUAACUCCGUGCCAGCAGCCGCGGUAAUACGGAGGGUGCGAGCGUUAAUCGGAAUUACUGGGCGUAAAGCGCGCGUAGGUGGCUUGAUAAGCCGGUUGUGAAAGCCCCGGGCUCAACCUGGGAACGGCAUCCGGAACUGUCAAGCUAGAGUGCAGAAGAGGAAGGUAGAAUUCCCGGUGUAGCGGUGAAAUGCGACGAGAUCGGGAGGAAUAGCAGUGGCGAAGGCGGCCUUCUGGACUGACACUGACACUGAGGUGCGAAAGCGUGGGUAGCAAACAGGAUUAGAUACCCCAGUAGUC